rnacentral:lncRNA from 1 species
ACGCUUUCACCAUUUCACUUUCCGUAAGAUUUGAUUUUUUUUCACAAGCAGCAAAUUUUUGAUUUCUUUCACAUUCAAAUCUUUGACGAAAUCAAUCUAUUUAAACCUCAAUUCCUCAUCCCCAACUCACCUCUUCAUAUGUUAUUUAACUAAAAUCUGCAGAUUCUCCCUACGAAUCCCAGCUGGUAAAUUUUAAUUAUUUUUUUUUGUCAAAGUUUCUUUUCAUUCAUGAUUUCUCAUUUCUGCCAAAAAUACAUAUGCAUACACUGUCAUACAUAUAUACAAAGCAUGACUGUUGUUAAAAGAAAAUAAGAGUAGAAGGAUGAUUUGAAGCAUGCUGAAAAAUGGAGUCUUGAGUCUUGAGUCAUGUUGGCUUUUGUGGAAGUAAUUGCUGUUUCUGGUAUGAGUCGAGUCGGGGAUGGAGGCUGACUGAGGAGAGUGAGAGAGAAUCGAGGAAGGCGGCGGCGGCUCAUCGCUGCUGUCCGUCCGGCGGUGGUGGUCUACCACUGACCGAGGAGAGAGAGAGAUUACGAGGGAGGUCAGCGGCGACGGUUAGCUUUGUCAGCUGAUGUUGUCGUCGGAGGGAGUCAGACGGAGGGAGGCCAGAGGGCGGCGGCCCUGCUGUUGGCGCUCGGCCACGGACGGAGAGAGGGGAGAGCAGUGGGUGACGGCGGCUUAUCGCCGCUGCUUCCCGGCGAGCUUCCGCAGCGGCGGAGCUUUGUGAGAGAGAGAGGAAGGUUGAGGGGAGAGAGGGCGGCUCGACGGCGAUGUCGCCGGAGUUGAGGGCGAUGUCGCGCUGCUGCGUUGCGCGUGUCGUGAGCUUUGAGAGAGAGGGAGAGUUCUGCGUUGUGUGGGGGUGUCAGGCGGAGGAGGAAGAGGCGAGG